rnacentral:rRNA from 1 species
UACGAAGGGGGCUAGCGUUGUUCGGAAUCACUGGGCGUAAAGCGCACGUAGGCGGGUUCUUAAGUCAGGGGUGAAAUACGGCAGCUCAACUGUCGAGGUGCCAUUGAUACUGUAGGACUUGAGUACAGACGAGGUAGGCGGAAUUGACGGUGUAGCGGUGAAAUGCUUAGAUAUCGUCAAGAACACCGAUAGCGAAGGCAGCUUACGUAGGCUGUAA